GGCGUGGGGCUACCUGCAGUCGACGCGAAAGGGGCUUCGGCCCUGAGUAGAGUGGCAAACGGGUGAGUAACACGUGGGUGACCUGCCUUCGAGUGGGGGAUAACGUCCCGAAAGGGGCGCUAAUACCGCAUGACAUCCUGCUUUUGGAAAAGCGGAGAUCAAAGCCGGGGAUCGCAAGACCUGGCGCUUGAAGAGGGGCCCGCGCCUGAUUAGCUAGUUGGUGGGGUAAUGGCCUACCAAGGCGACGAUCAGUAUCCGGCCUGAGAGGGCGGACGGACACACUGGGACUGAGACACGGCCCAGACUCCUACGGGAGGCAGCAGUGGGGAAUUGUUCGCAAUGGGCGCAAGCCUGACGACGCAACGCCGCGUGGAGGAUGAAGAUCUUCGGGUCGUAAACUCCUGUCGAGUGGGAAGAAACGCUCUGGGGCUAACAUCCCCGGAGUUUGACGGUACCACUAAAGGAAGCCCCGGCUAACUCCGUGCCAGCAGCCGCGGUAAUACGGGGGGGGCAAGCGUUGUUCGGAAUUACUGGGCGUAAAGGGCUCGUAGGCGGCCAACUAAGUCGGAUGUGAAAUCCCCAGGCUCAACCUGGGAACUGCAUCCGAUACUGGAUGGCUUGAAUUCGGGAGAGGGAUGCAGAAUUCCAGGUGUAGCGGUGAAAUGCGUAGAUAUCUGGAGGAAUACCGGUGGCGAAGACGGCAUCCUGGACCGACAUUGACGCUGAGGAGCGAAAGCUAGGGGAGCAAACGGGAUUAGAUACCCCGGUAGUCCUAGCCCUAAACGAUGAAUGCUUGGUGUAACGGGUAUCGAUCCCUGUUGUGCCGAAGCUAACGCAUAAAGCAU
rnacentral:rRNA from 1 species